rnacentral:rRNA from 1 species
AUUGAACGCUGGCGGCAGGCCUAACACAUGCAAGUCGAACGAGUGGCGGACGGGUGAGUAAUGUCGGGGAAACUGCCUGAUUGAGGGGGAUCACAACCGGAAACGGCAGCUAAUCCCGCAUACCUACAGAUGUGCCCAGAUGGGAUGAGAUCGUUGGUGGGGUAACGGCUCACAAAGGCGACGGUCCCUAGCGGGUCUGAGAGGAUGACCAGCCACACUGGAACUGAGACAGGGUCAAGACUCCUACGUGAGGCAGCAGUGGGGAAUAUUGGACAAUGGGCGCAAGCAUGAUGCAGCCAUGCCGGGUGUAUGAAGAAGGCCUUCGGGUUGUAAAGUGCUUUUAGCGGGGAGGCAUUACCCGCAGAAGAAGCACCGGCUAACUCCGUGACAGCAGCCGCGGUAAUAC